ACUCCAGCCUGGGAGAAAUGCUCUCUCUGCCAGAUGAUUCCUUUUGGAAGGAGAGGUACAAAAUCAUUGUGAAGAACUCAGGGGUAGGAAUGAUACCUAGGUUUAGGAUAAGAGCCUAAACUCCUAUGUCCUAUGAACCUCAGAAUGUGACCUUAUUUGGAUAUCAGAGUCUUUGCAGACGUAAUAAGUUAAGGAUCUCACAGUGAAAUCAUUCUGGACUUCGGAUGGGCCCUAAUCCAAUGAAUGAUGUCCUUAUAAGAAGAGGAGACUGCCAGGCAUGGAGGCUUAUGGCUGUACCAGCGCUUUGAGAGGCCGAGGUGGGAGGAUUGCUCGAGGCCAUGAGUUCAAGAACAUCCUGGGCAACACCCCCAGGACACCCCCACCUCCAUAUCUACAAAAAACUUUUAAAAAUUAGCAGGACAUGGUGGCACACAGCUGUAAUCCCAGCUAUUUGGGAGGCUAAGGCAGGAGGAUUGUUUGAACUCAGGAGUUCAAGGCUGCAGUGAGCUAUGAUUGCACCACUGCACUCCAGCCUGGGUGACAGAGUAAGACCCUGUCUCAACCAUAACAAAAAUAAGUUUCCUAAAAUAUAGUGAGUUUAUUUGUUCAAA
rnacentral:lncRNA from 1 species